rnacentral:tRNA from 1 species
GGCGGUGUAGCUCAGGUGGUAGAGCAGUCGGCUCAUAUCCGAUAUGUCGGGGGUUCAAGCCCCUCCACCGCUA